rnacentral:rRNA from 1 species
CUCAGCCUCCUUGUUUGUCCCGCCUAUAUACCGCCGUCGUCAGCCUACCCUGUGAAGGGCCAGAAGUGAGCAAGAUUGGUAAGACCCAAAACGUCAGGUCGAGGUGUAGUGAAUGAGAGGGGAAGAAAUGGGCUACAUUUCCUAACUCAGGAAAUACGAACAAUGAACUGAAAUAAGCAUUAGAAGGUGGAUUUAGCAGUAAGCAGGGAAGCAGAGUGUCCCGCUGAAGAAUGGCAAUAAAGCACGCACACACCGCCCGUCACUCUCCCCAAGUCAACUCUACAAACAAUGUACCUAAAAAACUAUACCUGCAAAGGGGAGGCAAGUCGUAACAUGGUAAGCGUACCGGAAGGUGCGCUUGGAAUAAU